rnacentral:rRNA from 1 species
GAUGAACGCUAGCGGCAGGCCUAACACAUGCAAGUCGAGGGGCAUCAUGGCGUAGCAAUACGCUGAUGGCGACCGGCGCACGGGUGCGUAACGCGUAUGGAACCUACCCACCGCAGGGGGAUAACCCGCCGAAAGGCGGACUAAUACCCCAUGGUUCCCCGACCCUGCCUGGGGUUGGGGGUAAAGCCUACGGGCGGCGGUGGAUGGCCCUGCGUGCCAUUAGCUGGCUGGUGGGGUAACGGCCCACCAGGGCGACGAUGGCUAGGGGGUCUGAGAGGACGAUCCCCCACACUGGUACUGAGACACGGACCAGACUCCUACGGGAGGCAGCAGUGAGGAAUAUUGGUCAAUGGGGGAGACCCUGACCCAGCGACGCCGCGUGAGGGAUGAAGGUUUUCGGAUCGUAAACCUCUGUUGUACGGGAAGAAGGACUUGACGGUACCGUACGAGGAAGCCCCGGCAAACUACGUG